CGUGUAGGCGGCCUUUUAAGUCUGAUGUGAAAGCCCGGGCUUACCCCCGGAGUGCAUUGGAGACUGGGAGGCUCGAGUACCGGAGAGGAGGGUGGAAUUCCUGGUGUAGCGGUGAAAUGCGUAGAUAUCAGGAGGAACACCGGUGGCGAAGGCGGCCCUCUGGACGGAUACUGACGCUGAGACGCGAAAGCGUGGGGAGCAAACAGGAUUAGAUACCCUGGUAGUCCACGCUGUAAACGAUGGGCACUAGGUGUUCGGGGUAUUGACCCCCUGAGUGCCGCAGCUAACGCAUUAAGUGCCCCGCCUGGGGACUACGGCCGCAAGGUUAAA
rnacentral:rRNA from 1 species